UAAAUUAUCAACCAAUGCAUCAUCAGAAGUCACAUUGAACCAUGUCCACCUAAAUGUAAUGAAAUAUAGUACACUAGAAAUAUAGUAUACUAUAGUGUUCCUAGAAGGAAGUGUUUAUUAAAGGAUGUACCUAAACAAGCAGGAAGACCAAGAAUCACAUUUUGCAAGGAUAUCCAACCAAGUCUGGAUCAAAGUAUCUGAAAAGUGCACCGCACCAUUAAACGCAUUACUAACCCGGGUGCACCGCCACUCGUUGGCCUGAGGAAAACAGUGAACAGUGGGCAAGGUGCAUGUAAGCGAGUAAAGACAGGAGAAUUAUAGCACAGUCAUUUCAAAGUGCCACACUUCCUGCUGCCAGUAGGACCGUAAAUGUAUAUUGUCAUAAAUAUUGUAGCCAGGACUAUUAUCAAACGUGAAGUUUGGAGCUGAUCGGUCAGUGUAUGCCUGAGUUCCAAACAUUGUAUGUCUGAGUUACAGCAACUUCCUUUUUAAUGGUGAUACAGCAAAAUUUGUCAGGCGCCACGGACACACCCUUCAACGAAAAUUUAACAUUGCAAAGGCCUUUAGAUUAUGCAUACCAAAUUUGGUGUUGAAUAGAAUAGCCUUUAUUUGUCACAUAUACAUUACAGCACAGUGAAAUUUGUUCUUCGCAUAUCCCAGUUUUUGCUUGGAAACUGGGGUCAGAGCGCAUGGUCAGCCAUGAU